AUCGGAAUUACUGUGCGUAAAGCGCGCGUAGGUGGUUCGUUAAGUUGGAUGUGAAAUCCCCGGGCUCAACCUGGGAACUGCAUUCAAAACUGUCGAGCUAGAGUAUGGUAGAGGGUUGUGGAAUUUCCUGUGUAGCGGUUAAAUGCGUAGAUAUAGGAAGGAACACCAGUGGCGAAGGCGACCACCUGGACUGAUACUGACACUGAGGUGCGAAAGCGUGGGGAGC
rnacentral:rRNA from 1 species